UACGUAGGGAGCAAGCGUUGUCCGGAAUCAUUGGGCGUAAAGCGCGCGUAGGUGGCCUCAUAAGUCCGCUGUGAAAGUCCAAGGCUCAACCUUGGAAAGCCGGUGGAUACUGUGAGGCUAGAGUACGGAAGAGGCGAGUGGAAUUCCUGGUGUAGCGGUGGAAUGCGCAGAUAUCAGGAGGAACACCAAUAGCGAAGGCAGCUCGCUGGGACGUACUGACACUGAGGCGCGAAAGCGUGGGGAGCAAACAGG
rnacentral:rRNA from 1 species